rnacentral:rRNA from 1 species
UCCUGCAGCCAUACCACUAAGGGUGCACAGUCUUCAAAUCCUGUAAACUAAGGAGGGUUGGGCUAGAUCACGGAUUGAAUGGAAGACCCUAAGGAAAACUCGGGCUGCUGCAGGAA